rnacentral:lncRNA from 1 species
AACUACUUCGAGGCUAGGGUUUUUACACUUGAGAAAUUAAAAUGCUUUGACUAAGUCAACCGGGCCUCGUCCGCUGCGAAAAUCCAUCAGAAAAGCUGUAAAAAUCGGCCCGGAGCACUUCUGGAGGGCGCGGCCGCGCUAAACUAGCGCAGGCGCGCUAGUGGCAGCAGUAGGUAGCGCGGGCGCGCUAGAGGUUAGCGCGGGCGCGCUACUGUCUGCCACUGGCAGCCCUAUUCUUCGUUUUUCAGCUCGUUCUCGCGUGCAUGUCCUUCCUCGCUCUAGUACCACUUCCGUAGGUGAUCACGGUUGCAUUUAGCACAUGCAACAAGCCCUUUAAACCCCUAGAUAGCUCUAGUGGACGAGUGUGUUCUCGUGAGGGUUUGUAGAAGAUGUACCCACAAAAUCCCAAGUCGUGAUGAAUCCACAAUUCUCUAUUCUUGCAAAUAAUGCACCAAAAACAACCUAAAAUGAUAGAAAAUCACUUCAUCACCUCAACUCGUGACCUGCACAGAAAAACACUAAAAACACAUCAAAAGACACUAAACACUUAAGUACAACCAACCAAUUUAAGUGGAAAUGAAGGCCUAUAAGUGUGUAUAAAUACCACUUAUCACACCCCCAAACUUAAACUGAUGCUUGUCCUCAAGCGUCAACGACACUAUACAAUAAUACAAUGCAAUGCAUGAAUGCAACUACGUGAUGAAUGAGUGAACUAUGAAGUAAUUGCCUUGCCAAUUAUAAUACCUCAGAUUGUGCUAAUGUUAGAGAGAAAACUGAUAAAACUAUGAUCUGAUAUUCUACUAUAUUCAACUACUACGAGGCUAGGGUUUUACACAUGAAAAAUAAUAAAGUGCAUUGACCAAGUCAACCGGGCCUCGACCGCUGCGAAAAUCCAUCAGAAAAGCUUCGAAAAUCGGCCCGGGGCACUUCUGCUGGGCGCGGCCGCGCUAAACUAGCGCAGGCGCGCUAGUGGUCCCAGUGGAUAGCGCGGGCGCGCUAACACUUAGCGCGGGCGCGCUAGUGUCUGCCACUGGCAGCCAUGUUUCUUCGUUUUUAGCUCGUUCUCGCGUGCAUGCCCUUCCUCGCUCUAGUACCACUUCCGUAGGUGAUCACGGUUGCAUUUAGCAUAUGCAACAAGCCCUUUAAACCCCUAGAUAGCUCUAGUGGACGAGUGUGCUCUCGUGAGGGUUUGUAGAAGAUGUACCCACAAAAUCCCAAGUCGUGAGGAAUCCACAAUUCUCUAUUCUUGCAAAUAAUGCACCAAAAACAACCUAAAAUGAUAGAAAAUCACUUCAUCACCUCAACUCGUGACCUGCACAGAAAAACACUAAAAACACAUCAAAAGACACUAAACACUUAAGUACAACCAACCAAUUUAAGUGGAAAUGAAGGCCUAUAAGUGUGUAUAAAUACCACUUAUCACAAGCCCAAACUUAAACUGAUGCUUGUCCUCAAGCGUCAACGACACUAACAAUAAUACAAUGCAAUGCAUGAAUGCAACUACGUGAUGAAUGAGUGAACUAUGAAGUAAUUGCCUUGCCAAUUAUAAUACCUCAGAUUGUGCUAAUGUUCUCGAAUUUCAUCUCUCUCGCUACUAAGUCAAUUACUCUUCUAUUUACAAGUGUGGAGUGCCAGUGUGUGCAAGCAUGCUCUUUUAUUGAGACAAGACAAAAACUACUACUCCCACAGAAUCCCAAUCAAGAAUCGUAAAAGUUUAAAACUAACACCCCGUCACUCAAGUCCAACUAAAAGCCAAGGUCCCAAAGAAUGUCCACACCCUUCUAUUUUAUUCACUAUUUUUUUUUUUUUUUUUUUAUUGGUGAUUAAUUGCUCGGUCUAAGGUCAGAGCGCUUCGCAGUGUAAAUGCGUUACGAACACCACAAGACUUCACACACCAAUUAUUCACUCUAUUCUAGUGGUUUAUUUAACCGUGCAAUGGUUGAGAUCCCUAAAGAUUUAUGCACUAGUACCCAUGUAGCGAGCGUUGGGUCAACAAUCCCAAACCACGAAGGGCUUUAGGUUGUUAGGCACAAAGUCCCCUCAGACUUAAUUACUCGAGUACUAAUGAGCUCAACCUAGUUAAUUCUACCACUUAUUUUUUAGUGAAUUUAUUUACUACUAUUAUUUUUUAUUUUUAUUUUUAUAUUUUUCUUUUUAGAAAGGUAUAUCUACUCCUCAGUUCCCCCAAACUUAAGAUUUACAGACCUAAGCUGAAGGGUGUUCAAUUCAAUCCUAGAAUUCAUGGAAUUUCGUCUAAAUCCUAUCUCAAGAACAUAUGUGAAUUACAAUUUCCAACACAAGCAAUUUCCAAGUACUAACCUAGCAUUGCAAUUGAAACUACUAAUCAAGAACUACGCACAUAACUCAUCAUAGGCAAUUAACUUGGCUUAACUUCAUAAUUCAUGCAAAUGCUCGUGAUACUAACUACGACAAUUACCACUAAACAUGUAAAAAAAAAAAAAUUGAGAAAAAUAGAAAGAAAACGUGAGAAAUAAUCAAAGCAAAAUAAAAUAAACGUGAACUACAUGAACUAACUAACACAUGCAAUGAUUAAACUACAUAAUAAUAUGCUCUUCCUUAGAUUACCACCCCCAAACUAAAAAUUUUCAAUGUCCCCAUUGAAAGUGAUAAAAAGGCUAGAGCACCCACAUACCUACUCGGAGUCCGAGUCCUCCCCCUCCUCUGCUGGAGGUGAAUCAGGUGGAGGAUACUGCAUCCCUGCUCCGAAUACUGGCCACUGAACUGUGACCCCCUGUGCCUGGAAAGCACUACCUAGAGCCUGUGUCAAGUCAAAAGCAAACCUCUGGUGGAUGUCAUGCAUGGUAUCCAUCCGUCUCGCUAGGCGGCGAUAAUGAGCAUCUCCCAUCGGUUCGGAGCUCCUCUCCGUCUGUGAAGUACCAGCUCCAGAAGCUCUAGGCUGCUCCCUCCUCACAAACUCUGGACGUCCCCCUGGCAUCUCAUCAUAUAAGUACCCGAGGCCUCGAGGGUGGGGAACUCCUCCAUCCCACUCUGUCAUCCGACUGAUCGCCGAAUGAUCAAUAGGUGUUGCCGGCAACUGUAAUUGCUCGUUGGCUGGCCAACGAACACCACUCGAUCGACAGAGCUUCGUAACAAUUGUGCCAUAAGGAAUGGCACCAGUGGUUCCUCCCUGUAAGAACCUCAGAAUCCCCUGAUGAAUAACAUGUCCCAGAUCAAUAUACUUGCCCGAGACAAUCCCAAAGAGCAGAAUAGCUCUAUCCACUGUCACCUCAUGCCCAUGUGAAGAUGGCAUGAUGUUAGCACAGAUGAAGGCGUUCCACGCCUUCGCAUACCGGUUCAACGCGGCUGCUGGAAACGAAACAUGUGCCGGCAAAGGAGGUGCAGUCAUCUUCCAAGUCGUGUCCGGCACACACAUAUCAUACACCAACCGCUCAAGAUCAACCGGAUCAUCAUCAAACCGGCGUUUGGCACGCCCGAUCCUCUCAACAACCCAAUCUUCUUCAUUACGGCGCUUGGCACGCCCCCCAAUCACUCUACGGAUCGCCUCCGCACUAUAAUCCACACGGAUUCCCCGCACCACCGUGAAUCCAUCGCGAUUCUCCUUGGCAUUAGCAUAAAACUCUCGAAUAAUAGCCAAGGGAACCGCCUCCGGAGCCUCGCAAAAAGACUCCCAACCCCGUUCUUGAAUCAUGUUCAAGAGCUCACCAUCUUCCGCCGUGGGUAAGAAUCCCCUCUCCUUAACUAUCGACUUAUUCAUAAGCCGUUGAAACUCGGUUCGUGCACCAUCGGAGGUGAACUCAACCUCACCCAUCGAGGAAGAAUCGCUAGAUGUAGGGGCUUGGGUGCUUGGUCCUUGUGAUCUUCGGGCUCUUUUGGGUGCCAUUGAUAGAGAAUUAGAGUUGCAAGAGGUUUGUGUGUAGUGGGUUUGAGAGAUUUGGAUGAAGGUUGUGUAUGGAUGUGUAUAUAUAAUUAGGGUUUAGAGAAUUAUAAUGGGAUUUGGAGAUGUGUUUUGUGUUUGUAUAAGGAUUGGAUAGCUGAGUUGGGUUUUAUGGGAUGUAUUUCGGGCUAGGCAUGCAAAAUUAGGAUUGUGGGACUUUUUAAACGUAAAAAAAAUAAUUUUUGGGUGAAAACUCGGCUGACUCGGCAGUCAGUAGCGCGGCCGCGCUAAGUAUAGCGCGGGCGCGCUGUGCAACUUAGCGCGGUCGCGCCUGACACUAGCGCGGGCGCGCUAGUGUCUGCAAAGAUAUUCUCCCGAGAAUUGAGAGAAUUUGCCUUCAGUGUUUUUGAUAGCUGAUACUUUGAUUAGAGGAUAAAAUCUUGUGCAGAAUAUUUUCUCCAACUUGUUCCAGCUAUUAGUAGUGCUUGCCGAGAGAGAGAUAAACCACGAUCGUGCUACAUCACGUAGCGUGAAUGGAAAGAGUCUCAGCUUCACCAGAUCCUUAGGUCCGAUAUUGAAAUCCAAUGCAAUAAUGAAUUUCUCGAAAUUCCUUAGAUGCAGGUUUGGGUCCUCAAGAACAGAUCCCCCAAAUUGAAUAGUAUCCUGCAGCUUGAGAAUGAUUGAUGGCUUGAUUCGAAUACCACUGGCUGAUAUCGCUGGCUCAAUUGUGUCAGCCUGAUUAUCAUUGAUUUUCAAUCGAGAAAAGCCGCGUGACGCCUCACCAACUGCUGUCCUAGCAUAAUCCAUUGUUUCAGAAUCAGAAGAAGAAGUAGAAGAUGAAUCAAUUGCUUUCUUGCGGGUUUGAGAACGUGUUUGCAUAAACGCGACCCAAGUACCUGAAAUAAAGAAAAGAAGAAAAGUGAGAAGAGAAUAGAAUCCUAGUCAGUGAAUUUUAAUGCACACUGAUGACAAGUACAUAAACUAAUUAAUUAACACCGAGUCCCCGGCAGCGGCGCCAAAAACUUGUUCGCAUAAAUCUACACGCAAGCGCACGUGAUCAUAAGUAAUAUAUUUGUUCGUUCCCACAGAGACUGGUGAAUUAAGAAUACGCACCUAUGCAACAAUGUAUGAUCAAUUUUCACUGCCAAGACAAUUAACAAGGAUGGUUUCUUUUAUACUAAUAACUAAAAAUACUAAUCAAAUUCAGAAUAGGAAAACACAUGGGAUUCUAACUUCAUUAUCGAAUUCAUCUAGAAUUGAAAUUACUGAUAAACAUGCGACUGUUGAUCCUAAUCAGACAACACGAAAGUAAUACAUGCCAACUCUCGUUGCACACAUAUCAUACCAAUCAAAAUCCACAAUUAAGACAGAAAUCUCAUGGACACCAACAAAGCUCAGACCCUAUAUCUCUAUAGCGGUAGUGUAAGCAGAGAGGUUUAAUAACAAGUCGUCUAUCGUGAUUACACAGGGUGAUAAAAAUAGUUCAAGUCUACCACAAAUUAUGUUUCAUUCACAUAAUCCUAUGUUUACAUGGCAUAGUUCUAAAUUCAAUCAUCCACUCUCGCUUCAGAAAGAAUUAACAAACAACUUAGAAGUUAGCUACGCUCCUAAGAAGAAUAAGCACGGCUCAUGCAAAGAAAUCAACGUACGUCACAAAAUCAAGUAAUUAAUAUUCGUUACUAGACUACAUCGAUAAAUCCAUUAGAAUCCCAUGAAGGCGGUUAGUUCAUAAUCGAACUAAUCGACAUCAUGGGUUCUAAUGAAAACAUGAUAAAUAAAAGACGAGAAUUAAACGGAAUAAAAAUGCUUGAAUUAAUAAUAAAGAUCACACGUUACAGAUUUGAUGUUCACGAUCUCGCUCGAAACUGUCACUUCCUCGCGAAGAACGAUCUAAUACAAACUGAUAAUGUGCUUGAAUGAUUAAACUGAAACUACGAUAUUGUUCUCUACUAAAAACUACUUCUACGAGGCUAGGGUUUUACACACGAGAAAUUAAAUUACAUUGACCAAGUCAACCGGGCCUCGACCGCUGCGAAAAUCCGUCAGAAAAGCUGCAAAAAUCGGCCCGGGGCACUUCUGCUGGGCGCGGCCGCGCUAAACUAGCGCAGGCGCGCUAGUGGCAGCAGAAGGUAGCGCGGGCGCGCUAACAAGUAGCGCGGGCGCGCUACUGUCUGUCAUGGCAGCCCUGUUUCUUCGUGUUCAGCUCGUUCUCGCGUGCAUGUCCUUCCUCGCUCUAGUACCACUUCCGUAGGUGAUCACGGUUGCAUUUAGCACAUGCAACAAGCCCUUUAAACCCCUAGAUAGCUCU